CCUACGGGAGGCAGCAGUGGGGAAUAUUGCAUAAUGGGCGCAAGCCUGAUGCAGCCAUGCCGCGUGUGUGAAGAAGGCCUUCGGGUUGUAAAGCACUUUCAGCGGGGAGGAAGGCGUUAAGGUUAAUAACCUUGGCGAUUGACGUUACCCGCAGAAGAAGCACCGGCUAACUCCGUGCCAGCAGCCGCGGUAAUACGGAGGGUGCAAGUGUUAAUCGGAAUUACUGGGCGUAAAGCGCACGCAGGCGGUCUGUCAAGUCGGAUGUGAAAUCCCCGGGCUCAACCUGGGAACUGCAUUCGAAACUGGCAGGCUAGAGUCUUGUAGAGGGGGGUAGAAUCCCAGGUGUAGCGGUGAAAUGCGUAGAGAUCUGGAGGAAUACCGGUGGCGAAGGCGGCCCCCUGGACAAAGACUGACGCUCAGGUGCGAAAGCGUGGGGAGCAAACAGGAUUAGAUACCCUAGUAGUC
rnacentral:rRNA from 1 species